rnacentral:rRNA from 1 species
UAAACGAUGAGUGCUAAGUGUUGGAGGGUUUCCGCCCUUCAGUGCUGCAGCUAACGCAUUAAGCACUCCGCCUGGGGAGUACGACCGCAAGGUUGAAACUCAAAGGAAUUGACGGGGGCCCGCACAAGCGGUGGAGCAUGUGGUUUAAUUCGAAGCAACGCGAAGAACCUUACCAGGUCUUGACAUCCUUUGACCACUCUAGAGAUAGAGCUUUCCCUUCGGGGACAAAGUGACAGGUGGUGCAUGGUUGUCGUCAGCUCGUGUCGUGAGAUGUUGGGUUAAGUCCCGCAACGAGCGCAACCCUUAUUAUUAGUUGCCAGCAUUCAGUUGGGCACUCUAGUGAGACUGCCGGUGAUAAACCGGAGGAAGGUGGGGAUGACGUCAAAUCAUCAUGCCCCUUAUGACCUGGGCUACACACGUGCUACAAUGGAUGGUACAACGAGUCGCAAAACCGCGAGGUUAAGCUAAUCUCUUAAAGCCAUUCUCAGUUCGGAUUGUAGGCUGCAAUUCGCCUACAUGAAGCCGGAAUCGCUAGUAAUCGCGGAUCAGAACGCCGCGGUGAAUACGUUCCCGGGCCUUGUACACACCGCCCGUCACACCACGAGAGUUUGUAACACCCAAAGUCGGUGAGGUAACCCUCGGGAGCCAGCCGCCUAAGGUGGGACAGAUAAUUGGGGUG